CAGCUUAUCUGGGGAGUACAGGGGAGAGCGGCUCCUGCCCUGCACACACCCUGGGAGGGCAUGAGGGCGUGUGCCCUGGAUGUGCACGUGGGGCAGGGUUGGCUGCUGCUGUAGGCUGGGGCCAGGGCAAUGCUGGGCUCUUCCCGGUGGGGGCUGGGCCAGGCUGCACUCAGGGCAAGCAGUGGUGAUUCUGGGAGGGGAGCUAUGGGUGGGCUAAAGCCACCCCAAAAUUCACUGUAGCUCCCCUGAACCUCCAUUCCCAGCACAGCCUGGCCCAGCACCGCCACCAGGAAGAGCCUGACACAGCCUGCCCUGCUCUGCAUGCAGAUCCAGGGGCACGCACUGCCCCAUGCCCUCCUGGGGUGUGUGCAGGGUAGGAGCUGUCCCCUGGAUGAGUCGUUUGUGGCUCUGUCCUGUACCCCGCUCUGCCUCAGCUGAGCAGUGCCUGCCCCUGUCCCAGUGCCUCCCUCACUGUGGGGACCUCUAUCUGUCCCCCACACCAUGCCUCCUUCCUUCCCCCACAACAGACUUGCCAAGCAGAUGCUGCUCUCCAAGCUGCUGGGCUGAGCUCCUGGCUGCAUGCACGCUGCAGCUGCACACAUGCACAGGGCAUUUAUCGGCCACGUUGUCAGCCACAUCAGGCAUCCCUGGAUGCAUUUACCAAGCCAUGGGGGCUUCUUAGCACUCCUGUCCCUCUUGGUGCACAUUGGGACUGACUCCCUUUGAGCUUGGAGGAUCAUCUUCUUGAGGAACAACUGCCCAUCUUGGACUCCCAUCUCACUGAAGCUCUGAGACCCCAAUGCUUCUCCUACUAACUUUCUUAGCUUAUAGAAGUCGAGGACCUCUGCCUUGCUGCUUGCUUUCACCAAGUGGUGAACAGUGGCAUCAUAAUCUCGACAAUAGAGCUGAUUUACUUGAAGAUCUUGGUAUGUGUCAACUGCAUGUUUCACAAUAUUUUGUCCCUUUUAGAAAAAUAAUGCUUUUGUUUUAAAAGCUGAGAUUUCCAAGAUGCAUGUGCACUGCAGUGACUGACUGUGAGAUGAAGUAAUAACAGUGAUUUUUGGCUAUGCCAGUGUGCAACAUAGUGAACAUGACAGCAAACUUGAGAUGUGUCUCCAGUCCCUGGAGGGUGCCAGAUUACAACCCGUACUUAUGGCUGCAUAGCUGGGUCUCCCUUCAAACAGAUCUGCAAUUCCACCCUCUCCCCCUCCCCUGCCAGCAGCAGCCUAUCCAUUCCUCUCUGUAUUUUCAUACCCUUGCAACAAUUGUAAAUCUACAUUGUAUCCUUGAAAGAGCUCUUCAUGCUUAGCUGUGUAAAUGAGUGCUCUAGUUGAAUGGAAUUUUAACAUCCUUUGGAACGGAUUGAGCAUCCAAAAUAUUGGCUCAAAAUAGUGAGUGGCUACACACCUUAUGAAAUGAAUGUCUAUACGCACGUAUACACGUAGGCACGUACAAGUUCCCUGGGAAUUAUUGGUCACGGCUGGUAUACAUUUUUCCUGGAUGAAAAAUCUCUGAGUGAAGUGAGAGGCUGCCUGUAACAAGAAGUGACAGCCUUUCACUAGUUAGGAGCAUCUGCCUUUCAAAUAUUUUAAAGGUGAUUCCAUUAUAGAAUUAAAUCACUUACAUCUGACUACAAAUUACAGUAAUUAUUUUUGCAUGUUGGCCUUAAGUAAUUUUGCAGCAGGCUGUCUCUUCUAUUAAAGUCAAAACAGCAGUUACAAUAGGAUAUUUUUCUCUAAUAUUAUAAUGAUGCUCUGUAUGUAUUAAGAAUUUAAAAUCAACUGUAGAAUUUUACUCUAGGCUAAAACGACAUCAAAACUGACUCUGCGAGUGUCCUUGUUACCAAUGUGUAGAAAACUUGCCUUUUUGCUUGAAAUAAAAACCUGAUGAAACAUU